AUACGGGGGGUGCAAGCGUUGUCCGGAAUUACUGGGCGUAAAGAGCUCGUAGGCGGCUCAGCAAGUCGGUCGUGAAAGCCCGAGGCUCAACCUCGGAACUGCGGUCGAUACUGCUGUGGCUCGAGUCCGGUAGAGGAGAGUGGAAUUCCCGGUGUAGCGGUGGAAUGCGCAGAUAUCGGGAGGAACACCAGUGGCGAAGGCGGCUCUCUGGGCCGGUACUGACGCUGAGGAGCGAAAGCGUGGGGAGCAAACAGGAUUAGAAACCCUAGUAGUCC
rnacentral:rRNA from 1 species